UACGUAGGGUGCGAGCGUUAAUCGGAAUUACUGGGCGUAAAGCGUGCGCAGGCGGUUUUGUAAGCCAGAUGUGAAAGCCCCGGGCUUAACCUGGGAAUGGCAUUUGGGACUGCAAGGCUUGAGUGCGGCAGAGGAGACUGGAAUUCCCGGUGUAGCAGUGAAAUGCGUAGAUAUCGGGAGGAAUACCGAUGGCGAAGGCAGGUCUCUAGGCUGACACUGACGCUCAUGCACGAAAGCGUGGGGAGCAAACAGG
rnacentral:rRNA from 1 species